GUUCUUCCUGAUGUAUCUGAUUAAUAAAGACGAAACAGAGCACACGGGUCAGGAAUCUUACGUCUGGAAGAUGUACCAGGAAAGGUGCUGGGAUUUCUUCCCGGCUGGCGACUGCUUCCGGAAACAGUACGAAGAUCAGCUUGGGUAAACGCGCAUGAGAGAAGCCUCCGCCGUUCUGGACGGCCAGCUCCUAGUGAAAUAAAAACCUUCUCUUACAGUCCUGCAACAUCUUUGAACAGGGACGUUUCCUAAAUGCCUCCCUGACAAGAAAGUGUGUGUGUUACAAAACUGAAGUUUGGGAAUUGAUUGGGCUUUUUGUGCCUAACGGACGUCCAUGGUGGAGAUAACCCGUGGUUGUCAAAAAUGUUAAAAGAAAGUGACAAAGCACCAAGGAUGCUCUCGUUGAAUGCCUUCCAGUUCGAAUGAGUUUGCUGGGAUGGCGUCACUGAGGGCAGGGCUGGAGGGUCUGACGUCUCGAAUGUCACAUGACAGCCUCCCACUAGUGACGCAGGUGGUCUGAGCUACAAAAAAAAAAAUCAUUUUAACUGCAGUCUCAUUUCUCCCAUGGUACUUGCUAGUGAAUGUAUCCAGAAUCAGCUUGAAAAGCUUUAAGCAGUUAAAGUAGAAAAAAAAAAAA